rnacentral:rRNA from 1 species
GGUUUGACGGUACCUAUAAAGGAAGCACCGGCUACUCCGUGCCAGCAGCCGCGGUAAUACGGGGGGUGCAAGCGUUGUUCGGAAUUAUUGGGCGUAAAGCGCGUGUAGGCGGUCUGAUUAGUCUGAUGUGGAAGCCCUGGGCUCAACCCAGGAAGUGCAUUGGAUACUGUCAGACUUGAAUACGGGAGAGGGUAGUGGAAUUCCUAGUGUAGGAGUGAAAUCCGUAGAUAUUAGGAGGAACACCGGUGGCGAAGGCGGCUACCUGGACCGAUAUUGACGCUGAGACGCGAAAGCGUGGGUAGCAAACAGGAUUAGAUACCCUGGUAGUCCACGCCGUAAACGAUGAGAACUAGGUGUCGCGGGUA